rnacentral:rRNA from 1 species
AGAGUUUGAUCCUGGCUUCAGAUUGAACGCUGGCGGCAGGCCUAACACAUGCAAGUCGAACGGUAACAGGAAGAAGCUUGCUUCUUUGCUGACGAGCGGCGGACGGGUGAGUAAUGUCUGGGAAACUGCCUGAUGGAGGGGGAUAACUACUGGAAACGGUAGCUAAUACCGCAUAACGUCGCAAGACCAAAGAGGGGGACCUUCGGGCCUCUUGCCAUCGGAUGUGCCCAGAUGGGAUUAGCUAGUAGGUGGGGUAACGGCUCACCUAGGCGACGAUCCCUAGCUGGUCUGAGAGGAUGACCAGCCACACUGGAACUGAGACACGGUCCAGACUCCUACGGGAGGCAGCAGUGGGGAAUAUUGCACAAUGGGCGCAAGCCUGAUGCAGCCAUGCCGCGUGUAUGAAGAAGGUUUUCGGGUUGUAAAGUACUUUCAGCGGGGAGGAAGGGAGUAAAGUUAAUACCUUUGCUCAUUGACGUUACCCGCAGAAGAAGCACCGGCUAACUCCGUGCCAGUCAGCCGGCGGUAAUACGGAGGGUGCAAGCGCUUAAUUCGGAAUUACUGGGCGUAAAGCGCACGCAAGCCGUUUGGUAAAGUCAGAUGUGAAAUCCCCGGGCUCAAACUGGAAACUGCAUCUGAUACUGGCAAGCUUGAGGUCUCGUAGAGGGGGGGUAGAACUCCCAGGUGUAGCGGUGAAAUGCCGUAGAGAUCUGGAGGAAUACCCGGUGGCGAAGGGCGGCCCCCCCUGGACGAAGACUGACGCUCAGGUGCGAAAGCGUGGGGAGCAAACAGGGAUUAGAUACCCUGGUAGUCCACGCCGUAAACGAUGUCGACUUGGGAGGUUGUGCCCUUGAGGCGUGGGCUUCCCGGAGCUAACGCGUUUAAGUCGACCGCCUGGGGAGUACGGCCCGCAAGGUUAAAACUCAAAUGAAUUGACGGGGGCCCGCACAGGCGGUGGAGCAUGUGGUUUAAUUUCGGAUGCAACGCGAAGAACCUUUACCUGGUCCUGGACAUCCAACGGAAGUUUUCCAGAGAUGAGAAUGUGCCUUCGGGAACCCGUGAGACACGUGCCUGCAUGGCUAGUCGGUUUCAGUCU